GCUGCUUUCACUGGCCCGGUGGGGGCCAGCAGGGUCAGGGCCCGCGGAAACCCUCAGCCUGGCGGGCCGGGAGGCCGCGGUGCUGCACUGGCUCGGCGCGCUCCCCGAGUGGCGCUCAGGCGGGGCGCGUUCAUUUCAUCUACAGACUGUCGGGAAGGCUUCCCGAACUCCUCCUCCCUGCCCGCCUUUGCGCAGGGCCGGACUCUUCGGAAACUGAAAUCACGGGCCGCCCGGCCCCCACCAGUCCUCGUGGGAUCCGGCCCGGGUUAACCUUCUAUGGGGAGGCCCAGGAGGGCCGGGCGGAGCGCCGGGGCGGGCGUGCGCUGACGUGGCGAGCGGCUCCCUCCACCCGCUCCUCCCGCGGGCACUGCCGAGGCCCAUGGGCGGGAAGCCGGGCGGCGGGCGGGACGUGGCCUCGGUCCCGGCCCUGCCCCGCCCCGCCGCCACUGAGACUCCCAGCGCCACCAACGUCGGAGUUGCAGUUUCUUUAGCUGUCAUAUGCAGACAAGUACUACCCACCUCGCCUUUGGAGUGAGCAGCAUCCCUGUGCCCAUCCUGCUGUGAUUCAGGAGUCUCGCAGAAGACAUCAGAAUGCCUUUCUCUGAGUCACAGUCUGUAUCUUCUAGAAAAGGCUGUCCAUCUUCACCCCAAGCCCACUGGCUCCUGAGAUACGACAUCCAGACCCAGUGCAGCUGGACCUGGCCCAGGAAGAUCAUGCGGUUUCUGGGAAGCACUGGAGAAGGAAAAGGCUGAAGAAAGGAAGACCGGAAAAGAAAUACAAGUCCUUCCGCCUUGGCAAAGAUGAUAGUACCGUUCCCUUCAGUGUUCCGGUUCUGCUCUAUUGGAUAAGUUCCGGUUUGACUAUGACUACGUGAAAAUGUGGAACCAGACCUUCACCCCACAUUCCAGCUCCAGCUCUACCACAGAGGAAGUGCAAUAUCACCUUAGUUAUUCAACACAUUAUGCUCCUCGUGAUACAACCAGAGUUCACAUCAGCAAUCUUGGCAGCUCUCACCACGCUGCUGACUCACGACUCUCUCAUGUCCCAAUUUCCUGUCCAUUGUUCUUUCCUCUACUUGGCCUGAUUUCUAAAGGCCUCUCUUGGUUGCAUUAAGCGGGAUUCCUGAGGGAUUCCCUUGGCAGUUACCUUGGGGGAGCUCUUAGGUUUGGGGCUGAUCCAUGUCCUCUAAAUGUAGGACUUCAAAGCUCCCAAAGAUAGGCAGGCCCAGUGGGAAGCUGGGAAAUGCUCUCUGACCCCUCUGGGAGGGCUGGCAGUCAGAGGGCCUUUUGGAAAGAGUCAGACCUGAUCCAUAAGUCCCUGGAAAACACCCUGCCCAGGGAGCAAAUGCCACUGUGGCCUUGACUGAGGCUUCAGAAGAGUUUGGGAGCUGCAAUUCAUCCACACACGCAUUCAUUUUCAAGUAGUGGUUUGCAGUUCAGGCUUUGGAGCCACAUAAGCCUGGCUUCAAAGCCACUUUCCAGCUUUGUAGGAAGUCUCUACAUUUUUAAACCUCCAUUUUUUUUUCCUGUAAAACUGGGGUCUUCAUGGUACUUAACUUCAUCGUGAUGUUGAGAGAAUGAAAAGAAAAAGGAUAAAUAAAUGGCUUAGCCUCGUGCCUUGGCACAUAUUGUGAUUGUUUCUUCACGUCUUUGUUCUCCUGGUGAAGCAUUUAUUCAGCAAGUGUUCACCAAGAGGCUGCCGGGGCAGCUGGGCGCUGUGGCGGAAAGAACACAGAUGCUAAUAAAAGCCUGAGCACAGGAUCAGGCUCUGUGGGUAAAGAUGCUCCAGUGGACCAGCUGAACACUUUACAGGAGACUCGUUCUGGCUCUGCAUUUGGACGGCUGAGCUCCCACCCACUUCAUCCCCCACCCGCAGCACACACACCAGCUUCUGGGCCAUUUCUGAGUUGGGAGCUUCUCAGAUUACGCUCAGUGUGACCUUGGGCAAAUCCCAUCACUCAUCUCAGCCUCUGGCAUAUUUCCUAUAAAACAGAGAUAAUAAUACCCACCAUACCAAGUUUUUGUAGUAGAUUAACCAACAGCAAAUGUGAAGUGCCCAGCGAAGCCCAGCAUGUGGUUGAUGCUCCACAACUUCUAGCUCCAUUCCCCCCACCACACCUUCCAUAACCGUGUGCCAAGCUUGGGCUAGAUGCUGGUGGUCAACAGAUUAAAAGAAGCUAGACCUGCCUGCAGGGAAUUUAAACUUUAAUGGGGGAAAUAAACAUUUGAACUUCUAUCCCAGAGAAAGAGCGCUAAGGGCUGUGAUGAAAUUAUGUCUGAAGGGUUAUGGAACACCAGGAAGGGCAAAUCGCUUUGCCAGUUUGGCCCUCAGUUUCCUUGUGUGUCAAAUGAAUGAAAUUGGUUACUACCCCAUGUGAGAUGACUUAAGUGAGUUAGUGAGUGUGCAACUACAUGUCGGAAAGUUUAGUUCUGUGCUAGUGCUUCUAUUUACUUAUCUGUUUCCCCAUUAGAACUUCAUCCCCUUGAAGGGGAUGUCUUCUAAGCCUAUGUCUUAUUCAUUCCUCUGUCCCCAGCACACUGGCAUAGAACUGGUGCCCAGUCAACAUCUGUUGAGUAAACAGAUAAAAUGACUUAUUAUCUAAUUUUAUCCCCCAAGACCCCAGAGAGAUACACCAUCCUAUAGAUGGAGGAAAAACUGAAUACAGAGUUCAGUGAGUGGCCUGGCAAUCAGUGGCUAAGCCAGGCAUCUUGGAACCUGUGGUGAUGACCUUUCUGCUAGAUUUCACAACACAGGCCACUCUGGUUCGGGUGGGAUGACAUUGCUUUCCUGGACAUGACUCAGCUUUCCCUGGGGGUCACUGAACCCAGCCAUCAGCCUUCACACUGAGUCAUGGGCUGAGGUGAACUUCAGACCUGAGGAGGGAGCAGGGCUGCCCUGCCAGGUGGGUGUGCCCAGGGAUCCCUCAGUCCAGCUGAGCACACCACCUGGGAAAUCCUUCAUGGGGUGAAGAUGGGGCGGGGACAAGGAUGUCACACCAGAUCCACACCCAUCUCCCACAAGAGCGUCUAAAGAGCAACACCUAUCCCGUCACUGUGACUGGUGGGCUCUGACUCAGAGGUGCCCCUUCUCCAUCCCCAAUGUCACGUCCUCAGCAUUGACUCCAAUCAUCUUUUGUUCUGCCUGGACUCCUAGCCUCCACUCUAUCAACCUUCUUUUCAAAGAAGUUAAGUGAUUUGCCAUAACCACACAUUAUGAAUAUCAUGUACUUAUGUUCAGAAAUUCUUGACUGGCUCCCUACUACCUGGAAAAUAAAAUCUAAACCCCUGGCUCAGCACUCAAGGUCCUCUUGCUGAAGCCUCAGCCUACUUUUCCUGUUUUUUUCCUCUGUACACCCUUGAAUCCUUCAUUUUAGAUCAGUCUGUGUGUUGCCAUUCUACAGAGUUGCCCUUUACUUUCCCUUCUCCUUGCCCUUGCUAAUAUACUAACUCACUUUCAUCUGGAAUGUCCUUCCCAUGUCUUAUCCAUUCUUCGGAUCUGAGCUUAAAAUCCGCCUUAUUCAGGAAGCCCUCCCAGAUCUCCUCAGCCCAAACACUGGGAUAAUGCCAGCUAUGUUUAUUGAUAAUUUCUGUUGUGCAAAUUGUUAUGAUCAGUACUUUAUAUGCUUCAUUUCAGUUGAUAUUUCCAGCAGCCUUAUAGCUAAAUGAGUAUUUAUUACCCCAUUUUAUAGAUGUGGUAACUGAGACUCAGAGAGGAGAGCUAACUUGUCCACACCUACAUUCCUCUUGAGAUUCAAAGGCCAGUGUGCCUGACUCCAAGUUGCUCCAUGACUUUGGUUCGUACUUCCAAUGUUCUUUGCACCUCUUUGAGGUACUCAUGUUGUUGGGUGUUGUAUUUUCCUAGGGGACUCAUCCACUCAGUUCUACUGUGAUCUUCCUGAAGACAAGCAUACCUCGGACAUAUCGUGGGUUCAGUUGCAGACCACAGCCAUAAAGCGAAUAUCACAAGACAAAGUCAAGAUGGAAAUAAUCCUGGACUGAAAUCCCAGAUUCUUUCUAACUUGUUGUUGUGCCAUCCUCAACAUAUGGCUCUGCCAUCCUCAACAUCCUAACUGGUCCAAGAUGGCUGCUCCAUUAAGCAAGAAGGAUGAAGAGCAGGACAAAGGUUAACCCUUGAACAACACGGAUCUGAACUGCAUGGGUCUGCUUCUGCCUCUGCCACUCCUGAGACAGCAAGACCAAGACCAACCAUUCUUCGUCCUCUUCCUCCUCAGCCUGCUCAAUGUGAAGAUGACAAGGAUGAAGUUCUUUACGAUGAUUUACUUCCACUUAAUAGGGAGAAAUGGCACAUUAACAAAAUUCCAAUAAUGAAUAUGAUGGUGACAAAGCAGAGAGAAAGCACAAACAAUAGGAGGAAAUGUUGAAAGAUUCCCUUUCAUCUCCUAACGGCAGUCUGAGGCUGGACAUGUCUACUCCUGGGAAUAGAAUCCAAGGGCAAAAGUCCCUCACGAUAAGGAGGCCACAUUUUGAGCUGAAACGUAUGAACACCACAGCUUCAGGGCCAGGCAAAGUUGGGUUUGUGUCCCAGCAGUACAACUCUCCAGACUUUGAGCCUCACUCUCCUCUUCUAUACAAUGGAGCCAAUGACACCUCUUUCCUGUGUAUUAGAAACACCACCUAAGAAGAUGUAGAUAAAGUGACUGCAAGGAAUUGCUAAUGGCUGCAGCUAGAGGACUAAAGUCAGAACUCUGUGAAGAGGACAUCAGUUUGCCACUUUCUCUGUUCAGUAAAAAGGCAAUUUUUGUGGAGACCAUGCUCCACUAACUCAUAGGAAAGCAUUUUCUCCCUGUGACAUCUCCAGUCGAUUUCAGCCGGCAGUAACCAAGUGACUAACUCUUCCUCCAGGGGCAAAGAGCCAGACCUGGUGUUUGACUUCUCCCUAGCCUCCCAAGUGCAGAGAUGAUUCCUACCGGAUACUGGUCCUUGGAGGAAAUGGGAGAGAAAUUCAGCUUUGGCUUUAGCAAUUCAACUGAUAAAGGAGGCAGGGAAAAAGCUAAGUGAGACAGAGAGACUACAAAGCCCUCUUCCUGGAUCCUGGCAGAUGCCAAAGGAAGAAUCUGCGAGACCUCCGCUGACCUGAGCACUUCCUGCAUGAAAGGGGCUCAAUACCAAGGAAG
rnacentral:lncRNA from 1 species